GUGCCAGCCGCCGCGGUAAUACGUAGGGGGCAAGCGUUGUCCGGAAUUAUUGGGCGUAAAGGGUGCGUAGGCGGCCUUUUAAGUCAGAUGUGAAAGCCCACGGCUUAACCGUGGGAUUGCAUUUGAAACUGGAGGGCUUGAGUAUCGGAGAGGGUAGUGGAAUUCCCAGUGUAGCGGUGAAAUGCGUAGAUAUUGGGAGGAACACCAGUGGCGAAGGCGACUACCUGGACGAAAACUGACGCUGAUGCACGAAAGCUAGGGGAGCAAACAGGAUUAGAUACCCUGGUAGUCCUAGCUGUAAACGAUGGGUACUAGGUGUAGGGGGUUUCGAUACCCUCUGUGCCGGAGUUAACGCAUUAAGUACCCCGCCUGGGGAGUACGUGCGCAAGCAUGAAACUCAAAUAAAUUGACGG
rnacentral:rRNA from 1 species